rnacentral:ncRNA from 1 species
GCGUGUAAAAGCCAAACCCGUCGCGAGGCGGGGACGGAAAGUCACGGGUCUUGAAUGGUUAGUCAUGCUCGCUUGCGAGUAGCCUGAAAUGGGGCUUGCCGCCUACGGGCGGCAAUGACAGGGACCGCUGUAAAAGACGGCCGGAUCGUCACC